CCUACGGGGGGCAGCAGUAGGGAAUCUUCCACAAUGGGCGCAAGCCUGAUGGAGCAACACCGCGUGAGUGAAGAAGGGUUUCGGCUCGUAAAGCUCUGUUGUUGGAGAAGAACGUGCGUGAGAGUAACUGUUCACGCAGUGACGGUAUCCAACCAGAAAGUCACGGCUAACUACGUGCCAGCAGCCGCGGUAAUACGUAGGUGGCAAGCGUUAUCCGGAUUUAUUGGGCGUAAAGCGAGCGCAGGCGGUUGCUUAGGUCUGAUGUGAAAGCCUACGGCUUAACCGAAGAAGUGCAUCGGAAACCGGGCAACUUGAGUGCAGAAGAGGACAGUGGAACUCCAUGAGUAGCGGUGGAAUGCGUAGAUAUAUGGAAGAACACCAGUGGCGAAGGCGGCUGUCUGGUCUGCAACUGACGCUGAGGCUCGAAAGCAUGGGUAGCGAACAGGAUUAGAUACCCGGGUAGUC
rnacentral:rRNA from 1 species